rnacentral:rRNA from 1 species
GACGAACGCUGGCGGCGUGCUUAACACAUGCAAGUCGAACGGAAAGGCCCUGCUUUUGUGGGGUGCUCGAGUGGCGAACGGGUGAGUAACACGUGAGUAACCUGCCCUUGACUUUGGGAUAACUUCAGGAAACUGGGGCUAAUACCGGAUAGGAGCUCCUGCUGCAUGGUGGGGGUUGGAAAGUUUCGGCGGUUGGGGAUGGACUCGCGGCUUAUCAGCUUGUUGGUGGGGUAGUGGCUUACCAAGGCUUUGACGGGUAGCCGGCCUGAGAGGGUGACCGGCCACAUUGGGACUGAGAUACUGCCCAGACUCCUACGGGAGGCAGCAGUGGGGAAUAUUGCACAAUGGGCGGAAGCCUGAUGCAGCAACGCCGCGUGCGGGAUGACGGCCUUCGGGUUGUAAACCGCUUUCACCUGUGACGAAGCGUGAGUGACGGUAAUGGGUAAAGAAGCACCGGCUAACUACGUG